rnacentral:rRNA from 1 species
GUGACCUCAAAUCAGGUAGGACUACCCGCUGAACUUAAGCAUAUCAAUAAGCGGAGGAAAAGAAACUAACAAGGAUUCCCCCUAGUAACUGCGAGUGAAGCGGGAAAAGCUCAAAUUUAAAAUCUGGCAGUCUUUGGCUGUCCGAGUUGUAAUCUAGAGAAGUGUUAUCCGCGCUGGACCGUGUACAAGUCUCCUGGAAUGGAGCGUCAUAGAGGGUGAGAAUCCCGUCUUUGACACGGACUACCAGGGCUUUGUGAUGCGCUCUCAAAGAGUCGAGUUGUUUGGGAAUGCAGCUCAAAAUGGGUGGUAAAUUCCAUCUAAAGCUAAAUAUUGGCGAGAGACCGAUAGCGAACAAGUACCGUGAGGGAAAGAUGAAAAGAACUUUGGAAAGAGAGUCAAACAGUACGUGAAAUUGCUGAAAGGGAAACGCUUGAAGUCAGUCGCGUCGUCCAGGGAUCAACCUUGCUUUUGCUUGGUGCACUUUCUGGUUGACGGGUCAGCAUCAAUUUUGACCAUUGGAAAAAGAUUAAGGGAAUGUGACAUCUUUGGAUGUGUUAUAGCCCUUGGUUGCAUACGGUGGUUGGGAUUGAGGAACUCAGCACGCCGCAAGGCCGGGUUUUUAACCACGUACGUGCUUAGGAUGCUGCAUA